rnacentral:lncRNA from 1 species
AUGCUGUUCAAAUGUAGGAGUAACCCAACCCUAGGAUUCCAUUUUAAGCUCAGUUUCCUGAGAUCAUUCCUGGUACCAAUUACUGCUUGGGUCAGGGUCCAGCAGAAAUCUGUUGGCACACUCAAACUGUUUAAUUUAAGAAGUAUUUAAUAAAAUAAUUCUUUACAAUGGAGAGGACCCUGACAAAAUCAAUAAGAAAAAUAAAGCAUCUUAACCUAGCUACACAAAAGGAAGCCAUUUUCAUGUGUAAGCCGAAAGAGGAAAAGGAAAGAAUGACUCUCAAAAUUCAGAGACAGUCAUGGUGCAAGAGGGAUUACCACUCAACCAGAGCCGUGGUUUUAUGUAGAGAAUUGCAGCCACUGACAACAGACCAAAAAGCAGAUAGGAGAAACCAAGGGAAUACAUACCCUCAUCUCUUUCUUUCAGACUUCAAAUUUCCUGUCCUCCCCUCUCCAUUUUACUCCAUAAGUCUUCCAUUCCAGUUGUUUCACCCCUAGGUCAACUGGGGAAUUCUAAAGUCCUUUAUUCCCCCCUCUCUGGCUAUUUUCUUCUCACUGCCUCCCUCCCCAACCCUUUCUUCUCUGAGCUAUGGGAUUCUCCUAAAGUGUCUUACAAAAAAUCUAGCCAUUUACAUUCCAGUGUAAACAUUCAUUUGUCUGUGUUAAAUUGCUGCCAGUUUAUCAGUAAUCAGAAUGGUCCCCAAUCUAGUCCCAUCUGUAAUUUAUUGUUUAGAGAGUUCCCAGAAUUGUCUAUGAGACCUUGAAAAUGACUACAUUAUGGCAAUUUCCUCCUUGAUGUUUACUUUUUAUUAUUAUUAUUAUUAUACUUUAAGUUUUAGGGUACAUGUGCACAAUGUGCAGGUUAGUUACAUAUGUAUACAUGUGACAUGCUGGUGUGCUGCACCCACUAACUCUUCAUCUAGCAUUA